rnacentral:rRNA from 1 species
UACGAAGGGGACUAGCGUUAUUCGGAAUCACUGGGCUUAAAGGGCGCGUAGGCGGCCCGCUAAGUCGAACGUGAAAUCCCCGAGCUCAACUCGGGAACUGCGUCCGAUACUGGCGGGCUUGAAUCCGGGAGAGGGAUGCGGAAUUCCAGGUGUAGCGGUGAAAUGCGUAGAUAUCUGGAGGAACACCGGUGGCGAAGGCGGCAUCCUGGACCGGUAUUGACGCUGAGGCGCGAAAGCUAGGGGAGCAAACGGG